rnacentral:rRNA from 1 species
AUUGAACGCUGGCGGCAUGCCUAACACAUGCAAGUCGAGCGGAUGACGGGAGCUUGCUCCUUGAUUCAGCGGCGGACGGGUGAGUAAUGCCUAGGAAUCUGCCUGGUAGUGGGGGACAACGUUCCGAAAGGGGCGCUAAUACCGCAUACGUCCUACGGGAGAAAGUGGGGGAUCUUCGGACCUCACGCUAUCAGAUGAGCCUAGGUCGGAUUAGCUAGUUGGUGAGGUAAAGGCUCACCAAGGCGACGAUCCGUAACUGGUCUGAGAGGAUGAUCAGUCACACUGGAACUGAGACACGGUCCAGACUCCUACGGGAGGCAGCAGUGGGGAAUAUUGGACAAUGGGCGAAAGCCUGAUCCAGCCAUGCCGCGUGUGUGAAGAAGGUCUUCGGAUUGUAAAGCACUUUAAGUUGGGAGGAAGGGCAGUAAGUUAAUACCUUGCUGUUUUGACGUUACCGACAGAAUAAGCACCGGCUAACUCUGUG